CCUACGGGUGGCAGCAGUGAGGAAUAUUGGUCAAUGGGCGUAAGCCUGAACCAGCCAAGUAGCGUGAGGGAUGAAGGCCCUAUGGGUUGUAAACUUCUUUUAUAAGGGAAUAAAGUGUGGGACGUGUCCUAUUUUGUAUGUACCUUAUGAAUAAGGAUCGGCUAACUCCGUGCCAGCAGCCGCGGUAAUACGGAGGAUCCGAGCGUUAUCCGGAUUUAUUGGGGUUAAAGGGAGCGUAGGUGGGCUGUUAAGUCAGUGGUGAAAGUCUGCGGCUCAACCGUAGAAUUGCAGUUGAAACUGGGAGUCUUGAGUACGUUUGAGGCAGGCGGAAUGCGUGGUGUAGCGGUGAAAUGCUUAGAUAUCACGAAGAACCCCGAUUGCGAAGGCAGCCUGCCAAGCCAUGACUGACGCUGAUGCUCGAAAGUGUGGGGAUCAAACAGGAUUAGAUACCCGUGUAGUC
rnacentral:rRNA from 1 species